rnacentral:rRNA from 1 species
UGGGGAAUAUUGCACAAUGGGGGAAACCCUGAUGCAGCGACGCCGCGUGAGCGAAGAAGGCUUUCGAGUCGUAAAGCUCUGUCCUAUGAGAAGAUAAUGACGGUAUCAUAGGAGGAAGCCCUGGCUAAAUACGUGCCAGCAGCCGCGGUAAUACGUAUGGGGCGAGCGUUGUCCGGAAUUAUUGGGCGUAAAGGGUACGUAGGCGGUUUUUUAAGUCAGGUGUCAAAGCGUGGAGCUUAACUCCAUUAAGCACUUGAAACUGAAAGACUUGAGUGAAGGAGAGGAAAGUGGAAUUCCUAGUGUAGCGGUGAAAUGCGUAGAUAUUAGGGGGAAUACCGGUGGCGAAGGCGACUUUCUGGACUUUUACUGACGCUCAGGUACGAAAGCGUGGGGAGCAAACAGG